GAUCCCCAGCUUGCUGGGGGGAUUAGUGGCGAACGGGUGAGUAACACGUGAGUAACCUGCCCUGGACUCUGGGAUAACCCCGAGAAAUCGGAGCUAAUACCGGAUAGGACCUUUCCUCGCAUGAGGGUUGGUGGAAAGUUUUUCGGUUUGGGAUGGACUCGCGGCCUAUCAGCUUGUUGGUGAGGUAAUGGCUCACCAAGGCGUCGACGGGUAGCCGGCCUGAGAGGGUGACCGGCCACACUGGGACUGAGACACGGCCCAGACUCCUACGGGAGGCAGCAGUGGGGAAUAUUGCACAAUGGGCGCAAGCCUGAUGCAGCAACGCCGCGUGCGGGAUGACGGCCUUCGGGUUGUAAACCGCUUUUAGUAGGGAAGAAGCCUUUCGGGGUGACGGUACCUGCAGAAAAAGGACCGGCUAACUACGUGCCAGCAGCCGCGGUAAUACGUAGGGUCCGAGCGUUGUCCGGAAUUAUUGGGCGUAAAGAGCUCGUAGGCGGUUUGUCGCGUCUGCUGUGAAAUCCCGAGGCUCAACCUCGGGCCUGCAGUGGGUACGGGCAGACUUGAGUGGUGUAGGGGAGACUGGAAUUCCUGGUGUAGCGGUGGAAUGCGCAGAUAUCAGGAGGAACACCGAUGGCGAAGGCAGGUCUCUGGGCACUUACUGACGCUGAGGAGCGAAAGCGUGGGGAGCGAACAGGAUUAGAUACCCUGGUAGUCCACGCCGUAAACGUUGGGCGCUAGAUGUGGGGACCUUUCCACGGUUUCCGUGUCGUAGCUAACGCAUUAAGC
rnacentral:rRNA from 1 species